rnacentral:rRNA from 1 species
UACGUAGGGCGCAAGCGUUAUCCGGAAUUAUUGGGCGUAAAGAGCUCGUAGGCGGUUUGUCGCGUCGAAUGUGAAAACCCCGGGGGCUCAACCCCGGGCCUGCAUUCGAUACGGGCAGACUAGAGUUCGGUAGGGGAGUCUGGAAUUCCUGGUGUAGCGGUGAAAUGCGCAGAUAUCAGGAGGAACACCGGUGGCGAAGGCGGGACUCUGGGGCCGAUACUGACGCUGAGGAGCGAAAAGCGUGGGGGAGCAAAACAGG